UCCUGGUCCUGGAGAGCCGCAGGGUCUGCUGGUUUCUGUUUUUGCUGUAAUAGCAGCAACCAAUUCAAACCCAAGAAACCAGGUGAGGUAAGUCAACUGUCUAAUCGACUGCUUUCAUUGAUCAAUUAAGUGCUGAAUAACAACGAAAGCAAGUACACCCUGCGGCUCCCCACCACCAGGAAUGAAGACCACUGCUCUAGAAACUGGGCUGGCCAGUGAGGGCGUUUGGACAUAGAGAGGUGUGGUCAGACACAAUCCAUAGAGGGCCACAACAUGGUCUGCUGCCUUUUGUUUCCACCCUAAAAUCAGCAACCAAUCUAGGUCCAAGAAACUGGGUGAGCGUCUCCGAGUGCACAGGCGAGCACCUACCUGCAGCGCGCUGUUCAGGAAGCAGCUGUUCUGUCCUGGCUCGUUGAUGAGGCCUUUGCUCGGGGCGAUGGACGUCAUGGUCCGAGGCGUGAAGAUGCCCUGCAUACCGCUGCUGCCGGACGCAAAGUAAUUCCGCUUCCACGACAUGGUCCUGGUCCGCUUUUGGGCCCGCGACCCCGACCGUGACCUCCAGCCUUCCCCCCUCCCCCCCUCCCCCCCACGGUCACCACGCGACCGUCCGUCGGUGGGAAAAAAGGGAGACGUUCAUCCUUUUGAAGCCGGGCGGCGGAAGGUGCAGAAAGAGGAUAGAGAGAAAGAAAAAGAGGAAAAGUCAGAAGCUUGGGGAAGGCGGCGCGAGCGUGGCGGCUCCACGCGGUCGUGUUGCGGUCGUCCCUCGGUCGGUCCUGCUCAGCCGCCGCUGGAGACAAACGGGUGGAAAUUGAGAAGUUCCAAACGGUCAGGGAACGGGAGCGAUGCCGGUGAUUUCAGCAAAGAGGAGAGGCUGGGCUCCCGAAGCUCGUUAACGUGGCCCUGCCCCCCCAUGGACUGCUCGUUAGUCGUGUGUCCGCCACUGCCCGCCGCCUCCCAGCGAGAGACCCCACCCCCCACCCCCCCCGGUGCCGUCCAAUAUAGGUCUGACCUCACCCCCGAGCGACCAGCGUCCAGAACCGUGCCAAAAGUGGGGCGUCCCGGCUAUGUCCUGGGCUGGGUAUUUGGAGUGCUCCCCCCAGCAGGAGCGUCCCACUAACAGGGAGUGAAAGAGAGCGACGCCUCCGUUUGCUGGUCGGCCGGUCUGCAGGGAGAAGAGGAGAAAAGAAAAGGCAAGGUCCAUCGCUCACGCACUGAGAAUGACUGAGAGGUCCUCACAGGGGCACCUUGGCUGCCAAAAUGCAACAUUCAGCCUAAUUCAGGCCUACAUAUCGGCUCCCCUUCUCCCACUCGCAUUCUCUCUCUUUCUUUUUCUCUCUGCCUCUCUAUCACUCUCUAUUUAUCUCUCCCACAGGCCCUGUGGCAGCACCUUUAAUGGAACUCUCUACAGGAGGCACAACAUGAGAGAGAGAGAGAGAGGGAGAGAGAGGGAUAUAGAGAGAGAGAGAGUGUGUGUGUGUGUGUGUGUGAGUGUGUGUGUGUGUGAAAUUGAGAGAGGGAGG